CGACCGCGACCCCAGGUCAGGC
rnacentral:rRNA from 1 species